rnacentral:tmRNA from 1 species
GGGGGCGUUAUGGUUUCGACGGGGGAAGUUGUGGCAGGAUAAGCGAGCCGGGAUCCCACCAGCCCGUAAAACGGUGGACAGUUAAUAAUAACUGGCAACAACGAAAAUUACGCUCUAGCUGCUUAGAUUGCAGCUAGCAUCCCACCCGCACUUGCCUGUGGAGCGGGAUUCGGGGUGUCAAAACAGCAGGCUGGCUCUUGAACCGGUUCUCGGAAGUUCAAGGGGACACUCAUCGAGAUAGCUCCAGCGCAGCCUGGUUGUGGGCGCCGCCGGAGCGAACCGAAAACAUAACCUACGCUCGUAGAAGAUCUUGUGGCUCUUCUUUCGGACGGUGGGUUCGACUCCCCCCGCCUCCACCA